rnacentral:rRNA from 1 species
AUUGAACGCUGGCGGCAGGCCUAACACAUGCAGGUCGAACGGUAACAGGAAGAAGCUUGCUUCUUUGCUGACGAGUGGCGGACGGGUGAGUAAUGUCUGGGAAACUGCCUGAUGGAGGGGGAUAACUACUGGAAACGGUAGCUAAUACCGCAUAACGUCGCAAGACCAAAGAGGGGGACCUUCGGGCCUCUUGCCAUCGGAUGUGCCCAGAUGGGAUUAGCUAGUAGGUGGGGUAACGGCUCACCUAGGCGACGAUCCCUAGCUGGUCUGAGAGGAUGACCAGCCACACUGGAACUGAGACACGGUCCAGACUCCUACGGGAGGCAGCAGUGGGGAAUAUUGCACAAUGGGCGCAAGCCUGAUGCAGCCAUGCCGCGUGUAUGAAGAAGGCCCUCGGGUUGUAAAGUACUUUCAGCGGGGAGGAAGGGAGUAAAGUUAAUACCUUUGCUCAUUGACGUUACCCGCAGAAGAAGCACCGGCUAACUCCGUGCCAGCAGCCGCGGUAAUACGGAGGGUGCAAGCGUUAAUCGGAAUUACUGGGCGUAAAGCGCACGCAGGCGGUUUGUUAAGUCAGAUGUGAAAUCCCCGGGCUCAACCUGGGAACUGCAUCUGAUACUGGCAAGCUUGAGUCUCGUAGAGGGGGGUAGAAUUCCAGGUGUAGCGGUGAAAUGCGUAGAGAUCUGGAGGAAUACCGGUGGCGAAGGCGGCCCCCUGGACGAAGACUGACGCUCAGGUGCGAAAGCGUGGGGAGCAAACAGG